rnacentral:rRNA from 1 species
AUUGAACGCUGGCGGCAGGCCUAACACAUGCAAGUCGAGCGGAUGCAGGGAGCUUGCUCCUGGAUUCAGCGGCGGACGGGUGAGUAAUGCCUAGGAAUCUGCCUGGCUGUGGGGGAUAACGUCCGGAAACGGGCGCUAAUACCGCAUACGUCCUGAGGGAGAAAGUGGGGGAUCUUCGGACCUCACGCUAUCAGAUGAGCCUAGGUCGGAUUAGCUAGUUGGUGGGGUAAAGGCCUACCAAGGCGACGAUCCGUAACUGGUCUGAGAGGAUGAUCAGUCACACUGGAACUGAGACACGGUCCAGACUCCUACGGGAGGCAGCAGUGGGGAAUAUUGGACAAUGGGCGAAAGCCUGAUCCAGCCAUGCCGCGUGUGUGAAGAAGGUCUUCGGAUUGUAAAGCACUUUAAGUUGGGAGGAAGGGCAGUAAGUUAAUACCUUGCUGUUUUGACGGUACCAACAGAAUAAGCACCGGCUAACUUCGUG